GGUGCUCCCUCUUUUCCCUUCACCCUUCACCCUCGCAGAAGUGUAUGUUUUUCGGAGUUUCGGAGCAGCAAGUGUCAGUCAGACCUUGGACUUGGGGUGGCGAGCGAACGACAUACGACAUUGCAGUAACGCGCACAGUAUACCUAUUUAUCUACUUCACGCACAUUUUAUUACGUAGAAUUAGAACAGUGAUGCAGAUAUUGCGGAGACUAUAUCCUACUAAGCGUACACGUAUGAAUUCAUAGAUGUCUCAUCUCGAUAAUAAUUAUUAAUUACGCGCAGAAACAAGCAAAUGCGUAAUAUUAUUGUGGUUCUCUUGCUUUUGCGUUCUACCUAUUAUACAAACAAAUACUCGCAGAGAUAGUUGUGUGAUACGUGUGUGCGUGUACGCGUAAGUAUACGAGAGUGUAAUCCAUGGAUUAGAUAUUAUUACUAUCGCCACUAUCAGUGCGGGUAGACACAGGUAUAUGAGGACAAAAGAUAAUCAGAUAAUACGAUAUUAAGUAUAUAUAUAUAAAGAAAAAAAAAGGUAGAGAGGUGUGAUCGUCGAAUCGUCGUCGGACGCGCGUGCGUGGGUGGUUAGUGCAAAUAUAUAUACGUGUAUACAGAUAUAUGGUGCGGGACUUUCUAUCUCUUGAUCCCUGUCUCUACAAGCCUUCGUCCCUCUCUCUUUCUUCCUGAUGCCAUCUCUGCCAUGUUUAUCUUGGAUGUGAACGUCUCUCGGUAGGUUGGACAGUGGACACCAUCACCUAAAUAAUCGUAGCGCAACGCAACAACGCGCUGGUAAAUAUUUUUUGUUUCGGAGCAAUUGGGGUAAUCGGAGCAUCAUCCAACGCUUUUUUUCACCCUCCCUACUCUCCUGGCCUGGCUGGACUUUCCUGGCUAUAAGUAAGUGUACUUUGUAGUGCAAAGUUGGCACCACCAGCAGACAGAGGUGUGUCGUCGUCGUGUAUAGUACCCGUCGUUGUUGUUUCUCUGCAUCAGUUGAAAAUGGCAAGCCAAACGGCCUCGGCGGGAACUGGUGCAGCUGCAGCUGCUGAUGGUGCAGCGGCGGCUGGUCCGCUGCCCAACGCAGAAAUUGUGCGCGGCCAGGUGUUCGAGGUCGGACCUCGAUAUACAAAUCUUGCCUACAUGGGCGAGGGUGCCUACGGCAUGGUGGUCUCUGCAUAUGACAAUGUUACAAAUACAAAAGUAGCCAUCAAAAAGAUUUCUCCAUUCGAACAUCAAACUUACAGCCAAAGGACACUAAGAGAAAUUAAAAUCUUAACAAGGUUCAAUCAUGAAAAUAUCAUAGACAUAAGGGAUAUAUUGAGAGCUCCUACAAUAGACCAGAUGAAAGAUGUAUAUAUUGUUCAGUGUCUAAUGGAAACUGAUCUUUAUAAACUACUUAAAACUCAGGCUAUUGGAAAUGAUCACAUAUGUUAUUUUCUGUAUCAAAUCCUCCGUGGACUGAAGUAUAUUCACUCGGCAAAUGUUUUACACAGAGAUCUCAAACCUAGUAAUUUACUUUUAAACACCACAUGUGACCUUAAAAUUUGUGAUUUUGGUCUGGCUAGAGUAGCUGAUCCUGAUCAUAAUCACGCUGGUUUUCUCACAGAAUAUGUGGCCACUAGGUGGUACAGAGCACCUGAAAUUAUGUUGAAUUCCAAGGGCUACACAAAGUCCAUAGAUAUUUGGUCGGUAGGCUGUAUUCUUGCUGAAAUGCUGUCUAGAAGGGCUAUUUUUCCAGGCAAACAUUAUUUAGAUCAACUCAAUCAUAUCCUUGGUAUUCUUGGUUCACCUUCCCCCGAGGACCUUGACUGUAUUAUUAACGAAAAGGCGCGCAGUUAUUUACAAUCUUUACCAUACAAACCAAAGGUUCCAUGGACCAGUUUAUUUCCCAAUGCAGAUCCUAAAGCACUUGAUUUGUUAGACAAAAUGUUAACUUUUAACCCUAACCAACGUAUUGAAGUUGAAGAGGCAUUGGCCCAUCCGUAUUUGGAACAGUAUUAUGAUCCCGCUGAUGAACCUGUGGCAGAGGAGCCAUUUAAAUUUGAUAUGGAACUAGAUGAUCUUCCAAAAGAGAUAUUGAAAGAGUACAUCUUUGAAGAGACCUUACUCUUCCAAAGAACUCGCAAAGAGAAUGCCAUUUAAUAACAAUUUUGAAAUAACCACAAUUUCAAAAGUUUUAAGGAAUGAAAGCAUUUCUUAUUCAUCAACAAUAAAUAUUUGGACGACAGAAAGAAACGCAAAGCAGCUUUUCUUCUUCAUCGUCUGCAUGCAUACGCAUCCUUGGUAAUUUGCUUCUUCUACACC